GAUGAAGAACGUAGCGAAAUGCGAUACGUAAUGUGAAUUGCAGAAUUCAGUGAAUCAUCGAAUCUCUGAACGCAUAUUGCGCUCUCUGGUAUUCCGGAGAGCAUGCUUGUUUGAGUAUCAGUAAACACCUCAACUCCCUUUUCUUUUUUGAAAUGGGAGCUGGACUUGAGUGAUCCCAACGCUUUUCUCACCGGAAAGUGGCGGGUUACUUGAAAUGCAGGUGCAGCUGGACUUUUCUCUGAGCUAUAAGCAUAUCUAUUUAGUCUGCCUAAAAACAGAUUAUUACCUUUGCUGCAGCUAACAUAAAGGAGAUUAGUUCUUGUGCUGACUGAUGCAGGAUUCACAGAGACAGCUUCGGCUGACUUUGUAAACUCGAUCUCAAAUCAAGUAAGACUACCCGCUGAACUUAAGCAUAUCAAUAAGCGGAGGA
rnacentral:misc_RNA from 1 species